AAAAGAAACCAACAGGGAUUGCCCCAGUAACGGCGAGUGAAGCGGCAACAGCUCAAAUUUGAAAUCUGGCCCCCAGGGCCCGAGUUGUAAUUUGCAGAGGAUGCUUUUGGGCGCGGUGCCUUCCGAGUUCCCUGGAACGGGACGCCAUAGAGGGUGAGAGCCCCGUCUGUGGUCGGACGCCUAGCCUGUGUAAAGCUCCUUCGACGAGUCGAGUAGUUUGGGAAUGCUGCUCUAAAUGGGAGGUAUAUGUCUUCUAAAGCUAAAUACCGGCCAGAGACCGAUAGCGCACAAGUAGAGUGAUCGAAAGAUGAAAAGCACUUUGAAAAGAGGGUUAAAUAGUACGUGAAAUUGUUGAAAGGGAAGCGCUUGUGACCAGACUUGGGCCCGGUGGAUCAUCCAGCGUUCUCGCUGGUGCACUCCGCCGGGUUCAGGCCAGCAUCAGUUCGCCGCGGGGGAAAAAGGCUUCGGGAACGUGGCUCCUACGGGAGUGUUAUAGCCCGUUGCAUAAUACCCUGGGGCGGACUGAGGUUCGCGCUCCGCAAG
rnacentral:rRNA from 1 species